GAUGAACGCUGGCGGCGUGCCUAAUACAUGCAAGUCGAGCGAAGCGGGGACGGGCGAGUAAAAUGUUGAUUACCUCUUAUAAGACUGGGAUAACAUAGGGAAACCGGAGCUAAACCGGAUUCUUAUAGAUGGAUCCGCGCUGCAUUAGCUAGUUGGUAAGGUAACGGCUUACCAAGGCAACGAUGCAUAGCCGACCUGAGAGGGUGAUCGGCCACACUGGCACUAGGACACGGUGCAGACUCCGACGUGAGGCAGCAGUAGAGAAUCUGCCGCAAUGAGCGAAAGCCUAGCAGAGCAAUGCCGCGGGGGUGAUGAGGGUCUUCGGUUCGGAAAACUCUAUUAUUAGGGAAGCGGUACCUAAUCAGAAAGCCACGGCUAACUACGUGGCAGCAGCCGCGGUAAUUC
rnacentral:rRNA from 1 species